AAUCUGAUAUGUUAACUUCAAAAAAUGGACCGUUACUUGCUCUCACAAAUACAUCAAAAUUUCAAGCCACUGCAGCCCCAGGGCCAAGCGAGAAGGAGAUUGUUGAGCUAUUCAGGAAGGUACAGGCUCAGCUGCGUGAAAGAGCUGCAGUCAAAGAAGACAAAAGAGUUAAUACCUCCAAAGGAAAAGGUAAGGAGAGUGAAACUGUGGAUUCCCUCCUUAAGCUGCUGAGGAAACACACAAGUGCACAAGGUAAGAAAAAAGAGGGCAGUCCCGAGUUUGCUGUGGACCAGCAGGAACAGAGCGGAUCAAACAGUGAGAAUAAAAGCACAAGCUUCCUUAAUCCUAAUUACAAAGAAAGGAGUGGAGGCCUUGAACCUGAUUUCUCAUCUUUUACCAGACCACCAUCAAAUUUCCGACGCAAGUCUCCAGU
rnacentral:lncRNA from 1 species